rnacentral:rRNA from 1 species
AUUGAACGCUAGCGGGAUGCUUUACACAUGCAAGUCGAACGGAGUGGCGGACGGGUGAGUAAUAUAUCGGAACGUGCCCAGUAGAGGGGGAUAACUGCUCGAAAGAGUGGCUAAUACCGCAUUCUACUGGGGCGGCCGAUCUGGGAAUGGCUAGUGGGGGGGGUAAAGGCUCACCAAGGCACCGAUCCGUAGCUGGUUUGAGAGGACGACCAGCCACCCUGGGACUGAGACACGGCCCAGACUCCUACGGGAGGCAGCAGUGGGUAAGUUUGGAAAAUGGGGGAAACCCGGAUCCAGCCAGCCCGCGUGUAUGAUGACGGCCUUCGGGUUGUAAAGUACUUUUGGCAGAGAAGCGGUAUCUGCAGAAUAAGCACAGGCUAACUACGUGCCAGCAGCCGCGGUAAUAC